UACAGAGGUCUCAAGCGUUGUUCGGAUUCAUUGGGCGUAAAGGGGGCGUAGGUGGCGCCGUAAGUCAGGUGUGAAAUUUCGGAGCUUAACUCCGAAACUGCAUUUGAUACUGCGGUGCUUGAGGACUGGAGAGGAGACUGGAAUUUACGGUGUAGCAGUGAAAUGCGUAGAGAUCGUAAGGAAGACCAGUGGCGAAGGCGGGUCUCUGGACAGUUCCUGACACUGAGGCACGAAGGCCAGGGGAGCAAACGGG
rnacentral:rRNA from 1 species